rnacentral:rRNA from 1 species
GUACACAAAAAUGCACAUGCUGUGAGCUCGAUGAGUAGGGCGGGACACGUGGUAUCCUGUCUGAAUAUGGGGGGACCAUCCUCCAAGGCUAAAUACUCCUGACUGACCGAUAGUGAACCAGUACCGUGAGGGAAAGGCGAAAAGAACCCCGGCGAGGGGAGUGAAAAAGAACCUGAAACCGUGUACGUACAAGCAGUGGGAGCACGCUUAGGCGUGUGACUGCGUACCUUUUGUAUAAUGGGUCAGCGACUUAUAUUCUGUAGCAAGGUUAACCGAAUAGGGGAGCCGAAGGGAAACCGAGUCUUAACUGGGCGUUAAGUUGCAGGGUAUAGACCCGAAACCCGGUGAUCUAGCCAUGGGCAGGUUGAAGGUUGGGUAACACUAACUGGAGGACCGAACCGACUAAUGUUGAAAAAUUAGCGGAUGACUUGUGGCUGGGGGUGAAAGGCCAAUCAAACCGGGAGAUAGCUGGUUCUCCCCGAAAGCUAUUUAGGUAGCGCCUCGUGAAUUCAUCUCCGGGGGUAGAGCACUGUUUCGGCAAGGGGGUCAUCCCGACUUACCAACCCGAUGCAAACUGCGAAUACCGGAGAAUGUUAUCACGGGAGACACACGGCGGGUGCUAACGUCCGUCGUGAAGAGGGAAACAACCCAGACCGCCAGCUAAGGUCCCAAAGUCAUGGUUAAGUGGGAAACGAUGUGGGAAGGCCCAGACAGCCAGGAUGUUGGCUUAGAAGCAGCCAUCAUUUAAAGAAAGCGUAAUAGCUCACUGGUCGAGUCGGCCUGCGCGGAAGAUGUAACGGGGCUAAACCAUGCACCGAAGCUGCGGCAGCGACACUAUGUGUUGUUGGGUA